CUGCAGGAAACAUGAGAGUGCUGGAACUUUCCAUAGGGGCUGGUCAGGGGUCACAAGGCCAAGUGCCCUGAGGACACGUGGGGGUGACAUCGAGAUGCCAAUGGAGGCUGGUCCCCUCAAGGUCACAGGCUGGAGGGCUGGCAGGGGGCAGUGGUCACGGGGCAGGGCUCAGGCUGCAGAGGAGGGGAGGACGGCACUGGGAGCCGCAGGAGGAGCAUCAGCUUUACUGGUCGUUCAUGCUUAGAAAAGUGGGGGCCUGGACCCCUGAGGAGGAGCUGGGGUCCUGCCCAGUCACUGCUGGUGGAGAGUAUGUGCAGGGCCUGUGGCCACUGCGGGGACCAAGGGGGCCUGGCGGUCCAGUGUCCUGGGUCAGGAAGCACGGAGGUUGUGGGUGACCCACAGUGGCCACACAGGAGGCUGGUAGAGUGAGCGGCAUCUCCUUGUCCCUCUGAAAACAUCCUGAGACCGAGGUGGCCCCGGCCCCUUGCUGCCCAUCCUCGGGCCUGCAUGUGUCCGUGGUGGCCAUGAACCUUCCAGGGGCUCUCCGCCCCAUGCUCCAGGAGGAGAAGCAGCCAAGGACAGAACAGGCCCCACGCCGGCCAGAGUGACCCAACCACAUGAGGCUUGUCCUGGACUAGGUCCAGUGGAGUCAGCCUGGGCUCUGGUGGUUUCGGGGAGAGCUGCCCACAGGGCAGCAGGUCCAAAGGGUGAGGAGGCUCCUGGGCACAAUGUGGGGGGAUCUGCAAAGAAGAGAGAGGAGAGGCAUGAGGGCCUGGGCUGGAGGGGCUCCGGUCCUGCCUGGGGACCCUGCCUUAGCCGUGUGUCCAGCGAGCAGCCCACGAGCACUGGCACCGCUCCAACAUUGGAGCCAGAAAGGCUCAAUUCUGACCUGGGCAAACCUCAGUUUCUCCUCCUGGGUCAUGGUCAAGAUUUAGAGACUGGCCCCACACACUCUGGCAGGGCCCUCGGAGAGCAGGGGCCGGUGCCGUGGGGCUCGUAGCCUCCUCACUGGGCUGAUGCUCGGGGAGAGUCAGGAUUACUUGGGGUACACAGCAGGCAGUUAAUAAAUGGCCAGGUUGUCACGCCAUGAGCGAGGGUCCAGAGGGCUCUGUGGAGGACAGACUUAAUAGCGAACUGGGACCAGCAGCUGGGCAGCAAAUCGGACGCCAGCCGGGGCCGAUGGCCACGGUGUGGGCCAGUGGAGGCCAGAAACUUCCAGCUGGGCCGUUCAAAGGCCCCACUCCCAG
rnacentral:lncRNA from 1 species